ACUCCUACGGGAGGCAGCAGUGGGGAAUAUUGCACAAUGGGCGCAAGCCUGAUGCAGCCAUGCCGCGUGUAUGAAGAAGGCCUUCGGGUUGUAAAGUACUUUCAGCAGUGAGGAAGGUGGAUAUGUUAAUAGCAUAUUCUAUUUGUACGUUAGCUGCAGAAGAAGCACCGGCUAACUCCGUGCCAGCAGCCGCGGUAAUACGGAGGGUGCGAGCGUUAAUCGGAAUUACUGGGCGUAAAGCGCAUGCAGGUGGUUUGUUAAGUCAGAUGUGAAAGCCCGGGGCUCAACCUCGGAAUUGCAUUUGAAACUGGCAAACUAGAGUACUGUAGAGGGGGUAGAAUUUCAGGUGUAGCGGUGAAAUGCGUAGAGAUCUGAAGGAAUACCGGUGGCGAACGGCGGCCCCCGUGGACAGAUACUGACACUCAGAUGCGAAAGCGUGGGAGC
rnacentral:rRNA from 1 species